UCUUUCCUUACUUCACACUCAUACGUCGGAAACAAAGAAAUCAUAGUCAUGGCUAAGUUUGCUUCCAUCUUCUCUCUUCUCUUUGCUACUCUUGUUUUCUUUGCUGCACUCGAAGCACCAACAAUGGUGGAAGCACAGAAGCUGUGUGAGAGGCCAAGUAUUGGGACUGCGCGAGGAAUUUGUAGUGUCAGUAAUAUUCCAUGCAGGGAUCAUUGCAUCCAAGUUGAGAAAGCUCUACAAGGAUCUUGCAAAUUUGUAUUCCCAAUUAACAAGUGUCUCUGUGUCUUUCCAUGUUAAUAGACUACAUUAAUAUUUUGAUGCUUAAUAUUAUGCGUUUAAUUCACAUAAAUAAGUCUGUCUCACUCUUUGAGUGAGCUUAUGACAUGUACCAGAGAUGAUUACGUCGGUUUCUUAUAAUAGUAUAAAUUUUAUACUCUUACCCA